GAUGAACGCUAGCGACAGGCCUAACACAUGCAAGUCGAGGGGCAGCACAAGGAGCAAUCUGAGGUGGCGACCGGCGCACGGGUGAGUAACACGUAUGCAACCUACCUGUAAGAGGGGAAUAACCCGUUGAAAAACGGACUAAUACCGCAUAACACUGUAGAACCGCAUGGUUUGACAGUUAAACAUUUAUGGCUUACAGAUGGGCAUGCGCAUGAUUAGCUAGUUGGUGAGGUAACGGCUCACCAAGGCAACGAUCAUUAGGGGUUCUGAGAGGAAGGUCCCCCACACUGGUACUGAGACACGGACCAGACUCCUACGGGAGGCAGCAGUGAGGAAUAUUGGUCAAUGGGCGAGAGCCUGAACCAGCCAAGUCGCGUGAAGGAUGAAGGUUUUAUGAAUUGUAAACUUCUUUUGCAGGGGAAUAAAGUGUCCGACGUGUCGGAUUUUUGUAUGUACUCUGCGAAUAAGGAUCGGCUAACUCCGUG
rnacentral:rRNA from 1 species